rnacentral:rRNA from 1 species
CUACGAUUUAUCGUAGUAAGGCCUGCUCAAGUAAAAUAAAUGGCCGCAGAAUUCUGUGCUAAGGUAGCAUAAUAACUUGCCUUUUAAUUAAAGGAUUGAAUGAAAGGUAAAACAUAUUGAUUUCUUUAUUAAAAAAAAUUUUCUAAUCUUACCUUUUAGUAAAAAGGCUAAAAUACGUUAAAAAGACGACAAGACCCUGACAAACUUCACUUUUUAGUUUUGCUGGGGGGGCAAAGAAAUGAUAUCUUUUUUACUUUUUAAACAGAAAAAUUCUAUUUUUAUCCAAGUUACUGCAGGGAUAACAGCAUAAUUUUUUCCUAAAGACCUUAUAAAAGAAAAAGUUUAUGACCUCGAUGUUGAAUUAGAAUAUCUAUUAGGAGCAAAAUCCUAACAAGUAAGUCUGUUCGACUUUUAAUUUUCUACAUGAUUUGAGUUCAGACCGGCGCAAGCCAGGUCGGUUUCUAUCUUUUUUAAGGAAUUUUUAGUACGAAAGGACCAAAAUUUCCAUUCUAUAUAA